rnacentral:rRNA from 1 species
GAUGAACGCUGGCGGCGUGCCUAAUACAUGCAAGUCGAGCGAAUGGAUUAAGAGCUUGCUCUUAUGAAGUUAGCGGCGGACGGGUGAGUAACACGUGGGUAACCUGCCCAUAAGACUGGGAUAACUCCGGGAAACCGGGGCUAAUACCGGAUAACAUUUUGAACCGCAUGGUUCGAAAUUGAAAGGCGGCUUCGGCUGUCACUUAUGGAUGGACCCGCGUCGCAUUAGCUAGUUGGGGAGGUAACGGCUCACCAAGGCUACGAUGCGUAGCCGACCUGAGAGGGUGAUCGGCCACACUGGGGCUGAGACACGGCCCAGACACCUACGGGAGGCAGCAGUAGGGAAUCUUCCGCAAUGGACGAAAGUCUGACGGAGCAACGCCGCGUGAGUGAUGAAGGCUUUCGGGUCGUAAAACUCUGUUGUUAGGGAAGAACAAGUGCUAGUUGAAUAAGCUGGCACCUUGACGGUACCUAACCAGAAAGCCACGGCUAACUACGUGCCAGCCGCCGCCGUAA